rnacentral:rRNA from 1 species
AUUGAACGCUGGCGGCAGGCUUAACACAUGCAAGUCGAGCGGAGAUGAGGUGCUUGCACCUUAUCUUAGCGGCGGACGGGUGAGUAAUGCUUAGGAAUCUGCCUAUUAGUGGGGGACAACAUUCCGAAAGGAAUGCUAAUACCGCAUACGUCCUACGGGAGAAAGCAGGGGAUCUUCGGACCUUGCGCUAAUAGAUGAGCCUAAGUCGGAUUAGCUAGUUGGUGGGGUAAAGGCCUACCAAGGCGACGAUCUGUAGCGGGUCUGAGAGGAUGAUCCGCCACACUGGGACUGAGACACGGCCCCGACUCCUACGGGAGGCAGCAGUGGGGAAUAUUGGACAAUGGGGGGAACCCUGAUCCAGCCAUGCCGCGUGUGUGAAGAAGGCCUUAUGGUUGUAAAGCACUUUAAGCGAGGAGGAGGCUACUGAGACUAAUACUCUUGGAUAGUGGACGUUACUCGCAGAAUAAGCACCGGCUAACUCUGUGCCAGCCGCCGCCGCAGUAA